rnacentral:rRNA from 1 species
AUUGAACGCUGGCGGCAGGCUUAACACAUGCAAGUCGAGCGGAGAGAGGUAGCUUGCUACUGAUCUUAGCAGCGGACGGGUGAGUAAUGCUUAGGAAUCUGCCUAUUAGUGGGGGACAACAUUUCGAAAGGAAUGCUAAUACCGCAUACGUCCUACGGGAGAAAGCAGGGGAUCUUCGGACCUUGCGCUAAUAGACGAGCCUAAGUCGGAUUAGCUAGUUGGUGGGGUAAAGGCCUACCAAGGCGACGAUCUGUAGCGGGUCUGAGAGGAUGAUCCGCCACACUGGGACUGGGACACGGCCCAGACUCCUACGGGAGGCAGCGGUGGGGAAUAUUGGACAAUGGGCGGAAGCCUAAUCCAGCCAUGCCGCGUGUGUGAAGAAGGCCUUAUGGUUGUAAAGCACUUUAAGCGAGGAGGAGGCUACUUUAGUUAAUACCUAGAGAUAGUGGACGUUACUCGCAGAAUAAGCACCGGCUAACUCUGUGCCAGCCGCCGCCGUAAUAC